AGUGCCCGCUUUCUUUCUUCCUAACACAUGCAAGUCGAACGGCAGCACAGUAAGAGCUUGCUCUUACGGGUGGCGAGUGGCGGACGGGUGAGGAAUACAUCGGAAUCUACUUUUUCGUGGGGGAUAACGUAGGGAAACUUACGCUAAUACCGCAUACGACCUACGGGUGAAAGCAGGGGAUCUUCGGACCUUGCGCGAUUGAAUGAGCCGAUGUCGGAUUAGCUAGUUGGCGGGGUAAAGGCCCACCAAGGCGACGAUCCGUAGCUGGUCUGAGAGGAUGAUCAGCCACACUGGAACUGAGACACGGUCCAGACUCCUACGGGAGGCAGCAGUGGGGAAUAUUGGACAAUGGGCGCAAGCCUGAUCCAGCCAUACCGCGUGGGUGAAGAAGGCCUUCGGGUUGUAAAGCCCUUUUGUUGGGAAAGAAAAGCAGCAGGUUAAUACCCCGCUGUUCUGACGGUACCCAAAGAAUAAGCACCGGCUAACUUCGUG
rnacentral:rRNA from 1 species